UACGGAGGAUGCAAGCGUUAUCCGGAAUGAUUGGGCGUAAAGCGUCCGCAGGUGGCUAUGUAAGUCUGCUGUUAAAGAGUGAGGCUCAACCUCAUAAAAGCAGUGGAAACUACAUAGCUAGAGUACGUUCGGGGCAGAGGGAAUUCCUGGUGUAGCGGUGAAAUGCGUAGAGAUCAGGAAGAACACCAGUGGCGAAGGCGCUCUGCUAGGCCGUAACUGACACUGAGGGACGAAAGCUAGGGGAGCGAAUGGG
rnacentral:rRNA from 1 species